AAGCAUGUGAUGAAUUACUCGGAUUCCCCUUCAAGACAUUUAGAGUGAUGCACAACCCGAGUAUCUGAUGCA
rfam:Cucumis melo, WGS project CAJI01000000 data, contig: 03803